rnacentral:rRNA from 1 species
UACGUAGGUGGCAAGCGUUAUCCGGAAUUACUGGGCGUAAAGCGCUCGCAGGCGGUCUUUUAAGUUUGACGUGAAAGCUCCCGGCUUAACUGGGAGAGGUCGUUGAAGACUGGAAGACUUGAGGCAAUGAGAGGGGUGUAGAAUUCCCGGUGUAGUGGUGGAAUGCGUAGAUAUCGAGAGGAACACCGGUGGCGAAGGCGGCCAACUGGACAGAUACUGACGCUGAGACACGAAAGCGUGGGGAGCAAACAGG